CUAGUCCUCUCAUAUAGUUGA
ensembl:piRNA 21ur-3782 ncRNA